AUGAAUUGUGUAAGUUGGAACUGUCGCGGGCUUGGGAACCCGGAGACAGUUCAUGAGCUUCAUCAUUUGGUGAGGCUGGAAGCGCCCGCCCUGGUCUUCGUCUCCGAGAGGAAGAUCGAGGGAACUAGAGUUGCAGAUCUCAGAGCGAGACUAGGAUUUGAAGGUUGUGUUCCAGUUAGUAGUAAUGGCCUAAGUGGUGGUCUUGCCCUCUUCUGGUCAAAG
rnacentral:rRNA from 1 species